rnacentral:rRNA from 1 species
GUAGGUGGCAAGCGUUGUCCGGAAUUAUUGGGCGUAAAGCGCGCGCGGGCGGUUCUUUAAGUCUGAUGUGAAAGCCCACGGCUCAACCGUGGAGGGUCAUUGGAAACUGGAGAACUUGAGUACAGAAGAGGAAAGCGGAAUUCCACGUGUAGCGGUGAAAUGCGUAGAGAUGUGGAGGAACACCAGUGGCGAAGGCGGCUUUCUGGUCUGUAACUGACGCUGAGGCGCGAAAGCGUGGGGAGCAAACAGGGAUUAGAUACCCUGGCAGUCCACGCCGUAAACGAUGAGUGCUAAGUGUUAGGGGGUUUCCGCCCCCUUAGUGCUGCAGCUAACGCAUUAAGCACUCCGCCUGGGGAUACGGCCGCAAGGCUG